CAGCGAGGAGCAAACUGGUCCAGCAGGGAAGUACGGGCAUUAUUAGAGUUUAAGAGAGAGGUUUUUGAGAUAACUCUAGUCAGCAGCUGCCCAGAUUUGCCUUCAUAUGCACCUGUUCCUGAUGCUGGCCUAAAAAAGGAAGUGUUCUCUAGUGUAGAUGUCUAUGAUACAAAUAGUUUAAGAUGUACUCUCAAUAUAUAUUCUGAGAAAAUUAGUGUCAAGCAGAAUUUAAGUUCAGGUCAGCCUUAUGCUAUACCUAACGCUGUUUGCAGAAAUGACAAGUACUGUUAAUAGUUUGUAAUCUCAGCAGUCCUGUCCAACCUUAAAUGAAUUUUCACUAGGAUGCAUGUGUGGAAGUGUAAUGUAUCUUAAGAGUGAUGUACAAUCUAAGAUUGCAUAUUUUUGUGGUGCACAACUUGUGAACCAAAUAUUGAAACUUGCACUGGUUUUUCGUUGUUGUUGUUGUUGUUUUGGGAUGAGCAGACAUUUAGAGUUGCAUGCUGGAAUUAAUAAAGUUGAUCAUUCAUUUUCAUUGUAUUUUCUGCCUGUUCCUUAACCGAGAAUGUCUAAUGCUGAUAUACUUUACUCUUCUUCAGAAUUUUGCUUCAAAGUGAGUGGAAGCCUCAAACAUUUAUUCCAAAGAGUUGCACAUGUAAAAUAUUGUUCAAGAAGAAUAUAAGAUUUUAAUAGCCAAGUGACAGCAUUAAGAACAUGUCUUAGUGAUGACCGCUACUCUUGACAAACACUUGCAGAGGCCACCACAUGCACUACUGUCUGCAAGCCUAUUUUCCCUUGUAAUAAUUUCAUAAAGGAAAACUCAUACAUUUUUUUAAAAAGUCCUGUCCAAGAAGAACUGCAUCUUUCAUUUCAAGAGAUCUGUAUGAAUGAACAGCUACUAAGUUUCAUAAGAAUGAAAAUUUAACUAUUUCUACAGUCACAUAGUUCUGAUAUUGUGAACUCUACAGAAAAGUAUAAAAUUAUGAUAUAUUCACAAUAAAAAUCUACUUAUAAACUGGAUACUAGCAGCUUGACCUGCUGUAACACAUGUUGGGCCUACAUCUAAACUGUUGACUAUGUCUAUUGUUGAUGUUCUAACUUCGUUAUCAAAAUAGUUCUGAAAUGUAUAAAAUUAUGGUUUAACAUAUUUACAAGAAAAGUCUAUAAACAGAUUGGUUCUGACAGCUUGGCCUGCUGCAACAUGGGCUCUUUCUGUGGGAGCAUCAUGUUCUGAAACAGUGUCAUUGAUUUUAUUGUAGUGAUUUUCAUUAUUUAAAUCAUUGUUAUGUCCAACAUCAUUAUUGUCGCCAUCAUUGUCUGGCUCUCCCCGAUUGAGAACACAGUCACUUCACAUGCCUGAUCUGGUUCCAUCUUCAGACCCUAGAGACAA